AACGAACGCUGGCGGCAUGCCUAACACAUGCAAGUCGAACGAGACCUUCGGGUCUAGUGGCGCACGGGUGCGUAACGCGUGGGAACCUGCCCUUAGGUUCGGAAUAACUCCCCGAAAGGAGUGCUAAUACCGGAUAAUGUCUUCGGACCAAAGAUUUAUCGCCUUUGGAUGGGCCCGCGUUGGAUUAGCUAGUUGGUAGGGUAAAAGCCUACCAAGGCGACGAUCCAUAGCUGGUCUGAGAGGAUGAUCAGCCACACUGGGACUGAGACACGGCCCAGACUCCUACGGGAGGCAGCAGUGGGGAAUAUUAGACAAUGGGCGAAAGCCUGAUCCAGCAAUGCCGCGUGAGUGAUGAAGGCCUUAGGGUUGUAAAGCUCUUUUACCCGGGAUGAUAAUGACAGUACCGGGAGAAUAAGCUCCGGCUAACUCCGUG
rnacentral:rRNA from 1 species